CCGUUUGCUUCAUUGCGAGUGGAUUSAUGGGAACUUUUUUAAACCUCGCCAUUUAGAGGAAGGUGAAGUCGUAACAAGGUUUCCGUAGGUGAACCUGCGGAAGGAUCAUUACCACACCUAAAAAACUUUCCACGUGAACCGUAUCACCCCCUUAAGAUUGGGAGCUUGCUCGGCGGCGUGCGUGCUGGCCUGUAAUGGGUCGGCGUGCUGCUGCUGGGCGGGCUCUAUCAUGGGCGAGCGUUUGGGCUUCGGCUCGAGCUAGUAGCUUUUUCUUUUAAACCCCUUCUUUAAUUACUGAAAUACUGUGGGGACGAAAGUCUCUGCUUUUAACUAGAUAGCAACUUUCAGCAGUGGAUGUCUAGGCUCGCACAUCGAUGAAGAACGCUGCGAACUGCGAUACGUAAUGCGAAUUGCAGGAUUCAGUGAGUCAUCGAAAUUUUGAACGCAUAUUGCACUUCCGGGUUCGUCCUGGAAGUAUGCCUGUAUCAGUGUCCGUACAUCAACCUUGGUUUUCUUCCUUCCGUGUAGUCGGUGGAGGAUAUGCCAGACGUGAAGUGUCUUGCUAGCGGUCUUUCGAGUCUGCCGGCGAGUCCUUUGAAAUGUACUGAACUGUACUCUCUCUUUGCUCGAAAAGCGUGGCGUUGCUGGUUGUGGAGGCUGCCCGUAUGGCCAGUCGGCGACCGGUUUGUUAGCUGUAGUAUAUACUGGAGGAGUGUUCGAUUCGCGGUAUGGUUGGCUUCGGCUGAACAAUCUGCUUAUUGGGURCUUUUCCUGCUAUUGGCGGUACRAACUGGUGAACCGUAGCUGUGUGGAGCUUGGCUUUUGAAUCGGCUUUGCUUGCGAAGUAGAGUGGCGGCUUCGGCUGCCGAGGGGUCGAUCCAUUUUGGGAAAUUAUGUGUGUGCGGCUUCGUGCUGCGCGCAUCUCAAUUGGACCUGAUAUCAGGCAAGAUUACCCGCUGAACUUAAGCAUAUCAAUAAGCGGAGGAAAAGAAACUAACAAGGAUUCCCCUAGUAACGGCGAGUGAAGCGGGAAGAGCUCAAGCUUAAAAUCUCCGUGCAAGUUUUGCACGGCGAAUUGUAGUCUAUAGAGGCGUGGUCAGCGUGGGCGCUUGGGGCAAGUUCCUUGGAAGAGGACAGCAUGGAGGGUGAUACUCCCGUCUCCCC
rnacentral:rRNA from 1 species